UGCUCCAGAAAAGGGAAGUGGAGAGGUCCUCCAAGCUGCAUAGAGCAGCUGCGUGGGACACAGCCAAUCAAGGCCCAGCAGGUUCAUAUUAAAAGAGCUGCAGGGCCAGAGUGAGUUCAGUCUGCUGGCAGGGAUUGGGGCAGCAAAAGGUGCUCCUGGCUGGCUGCAGUAGCUAAACCGAGAUUGACCUAACUGGAGAGCUGGGGUCAGAAGACUAGAGGAUGAGUAAAGAGCUUCCAGGGAGGAAGAAGCCCUGGGGGUGCUGCUCCACCCCAGAGCAAGAACCUUCACCCAGAAAAACAAUGCUAGGAGGAGGAAAACAGACAGACUGAAGUAUCGCAUGGAGCCAGCAAGAACUGCUCUAUUCAUUGCAUCUGACCUUUGAAGUGCCUUAUCUUAAGGGAGAAAGAUCUGCCAGACAUCUGUAAGCAUCAUGACACAGAGGGCAAAUUGUGCCUGCCCCCUAGGCAGGUGCACAAGUAAGGAGAAAGGAUCACUGUUUAUCUCCUUAGUCGUAUUAGGAAUAAGGGUGAGCCCACUGAGCUGCCCCUCACACUGUGUCCCAUGGACCCAAAGUCCUAGGCCUGGCCAAGCAUUUGGAACUUUCCAGAAGUGAAAGCCACCCACCCUCAGGUGAGACAGGAAGGGGUGUCCCUGACUUUUCUCCUAUCUAGCUUCUGUUUCCUGCUCCCUGGUCCUUGCGCCUUCCUCCAUUUCCAGGGGCUGCUCCUGUGGAACUUACUCCGGGGCCACUCUUCCUGGGGGCUGUUUCUGUGUCUGGCAGGGGCAGGCCCACAGGUAGACAA